GAUUGUAAAAAAAAUAAGGGUUUCUUUUUGCUGAGUUAUGGCUGCUUCUAACGCGUUUGUCCUUCCCCUUUACCGAGCAUGUUCAAAAUGCAGAUCUGGUUAUGCCCAUUUGGUUUAUUUAUGUUUUAGCUAGAGUUGGGUAGUGAGUCCUUUCAUUUUCAGAGCCAUCCUUUUUUCCCUUCAUCUUAGUUCUCUUAUCUGGUAUAUUGUUUGUUUUCUGAUUCUGGUGCUUGUUUUCAAUGUUUUGUUUAUGUUUGUUUGGCUUGUUGGGAUGGUGGAUAGUUUCUUAGUUGCUAAUGUUGAUUCGACUGCAAA